rnacentral:tRNA from 1 species
GCCGACUUAGCUCAGGGGUAGAGCAGUUCCCUCGUAAAGAACAGGUCUCGGGUUCAAAUCCCGAAGUCGGCUCCA